rnacentral:rRNA from 1 species
GAGAAUCCCCGUAUGUGACUGGUUUGCCACGCCCGUGUGAAGCUCCUUCGACGAGUCGAGUUUGUUUGGGAAUGCAGCUCAAAAUGGGUGGUAAAUUUCAUCUAAAGCUAAAUAUUGGCCAGAGACCGAUAGCGCACAAGUAGAGUGAUCGAAAGAUGAAAAGCACUUUGGAAAGAGAGUCAAACAGUACGUGAAAUUGUUGAAAGGGAAGCGCUUGCAACCAGACUUGCCCGCGGGUGAUCAGCCGGUAUUUUUACCGGUGCACUCGCCCGUGGUCAGGCCAGCAUCGGUUUGGGUGGCUGGAUAAAGUCCACUGGAAUGUAGCUCCUCUCGGGGAGUGUUAUAGCCAGAGGUGCCAUGCAGCCCGCCCGGACCGAGGACCGCGCUUCGGCUAGGAUGCUGGCGUAAUGGUUGUAAGCGACCCGUCUUGAAACACGGACCAAGGAGUCUAACAUCUAUGCGAGUGUUUGGGUGUCAAACCCAUGCGCGUAAUGAAAGUGAACGGAGGUGGGAACCCUCAAGGGUGCACCAUCGACCGAUCCUGAUGUCUUCGGAUGGAUUUGAGUAAGAGCAUAGCUGUUGGGACCCGAAAGAUGGUGAACUAUGCCUGAAUAGGGUGAAGCCAGAGGAAACUUGGGGGCUCGCAGCGGUUCUGACGUGCAAAUCGAUCGUCAAAUUUG